UACGUAGGGUGCGAGCGUUGUCCGGAAUUAUUGGGCGUAAAGCGCGCGCAGGCGGUCCUUUAAGUCUGAUGUGAAAGCCCACGGCUCAACCGUGGAGGGUCAUUGGAAACUGGGGGACUUGAGUGCAGAAGAGGAGAGUGGAAUUCCACGUGUAGCGGUGAAAUGCGUAGAGAUGUGGAGGAACACCAGUGGCGAAGGCGACUCUCUGGUCUGUAACUGACGCUGAGGCGCGAAAGCGUGGGGAGCAAACAGG
rnacentral:rRNA from 1 species